GAUGAACGCUGGCGGCGUGCUUAACACAUGCAAGUCGAACGGAAAGGCUCCUGCUUGCAGGGGUACUCGAGUGGCGAACGGGUGAGUAACACGUGGGUGAUCUGCCCCGCACUUCGGGAUAAGCCUGGGAAACUGGGUCUAAUACCGGAUAGGACGAUGGUUUGGAUGCCAUUGUGGAAAGUUUUUCGGUGUGGGAUGGGCUCGCGGCCUAUCAGCUUGUUGGUGGGGUAAUGGCAUACCAAGGCGUCGACGGGUAGCCGGCCUGGGAGGGUGUACGGCCACAUUGGGACUGAGAUACGGCGCAGACGCCUACGGGAGGCAGCAGUGGGGAAUAUUGCACAAUGGGCGCAAGCCUGAUGCAGCGACGCCGCGUGGGGGAUGACGGCCUUCGGGUUGUAAACUCCUGUCGCUAGGGACGAAGCGCAAGUGACGGUACCUGGAGAAGAAGCACCGGCUAACUACGUG
rnacentral:rRNA from 1 species